CACGUGAGGAACCUACCUUCAAGUGGGGAAUAGCUGCCAGAAAUGGCCGCUAAUACCGCAUGUGGUUGUCUGUUGGCAUCUUCGGACAACUAAAGAUUUAUCGCUUGGAGACGGCCUCGCGGCCUAUUAGCUAGUUGGUGGGGUAACGGCCUACCAAGGCGAUGAUGGGUAGCUGGUCUGAGAGGACGAUCAGCCACACUGGGACUGAGACGCGGCCCAG
rnacentral:rRNA from 1 species